rnacentral:lncRNA from 1 species
GAAGCUUAUGGGAUAUUGCUGUGAGAGACAUCAUAGGAUUGUGGUCUAUGAGUACAUGUGCAACGGAAGCUUGGAUGCCCAUCUCUUGAGAGGUAGUGCUCAGUCCUUUACUUACUGUGACCGAAGAAAAAUGGCUGAUAUAAUCAUGGCAUACAGAGAAUAAUACAGAGCUAAACUGGAAUAGGAGAAUCAAAAUAGCUAUUGGAGUAGCAAGGGCAAUAGCUUACCUUCACAACUGCACGAGGCCAGUCAUUCAUCGGGACCUCAAAUCCUCUAAUGUUCUCCUUGAUGCUGUCAGUUUUUCUCCCAUGAUGCUUAUUUUUAUAUGCAUCCGAUUACACAUACACUAACUAACAUUUACCCUCGAAAUGUUUACAUGGAUCCUCACUGCAGUCUGCACAAAGUACUCAUUUUAGUAAAUAAGAAACAGCUGAGGGUCACAUUGCAGGAUUUCAAUCCGAAACUAUCAUACUUUGGACUGGCUAGGCAUGGACCUUUAGAAGACCAAUCACAUGUCAGUACAAGGAUCCUUGGAACCAGAGGAUACUUCGCUCCCGAAUACUUUACAACAGGUAAAUGUUUCAGCUUAACAUUCUGAAGCCAGAGGA